UUGCUGUGAUGAUGUCUUAUGGUUUCGCUGUAUUUCUGAUGAAUAUGACGAUACCUCCUUGGCUGUCUGAGCAA